UUCACUGGAGGUUUCAGUUUUCUUCAAUUCAAAAACUAAAGCAGGAGACCCCACCAGAGAGGGAAAGCUGGUUUCGGGGUCACCUCCAUGAUAGACCACUAACGGUAGACUCUGUCCACUGGUGGAUGCUGAGGUUUCCGUGUCUCUCCUCGUUGCAUGGGGACCUCUUGGUUUAAGGCAGCUCCAACCAUCACAUCCUUCCUCGGCCCUCUCCGUGUCUUUCCCUGGAGAUCAUGUUCUUUGGUUCCUGUCCUAAGCUGUUGCUGAGCAGUGCACACUUGUGCUUUCUCUCUGAGCUCGAGGAUCAGGUGCUGGCUAUGAAACAGAGAGAUCCAGUUUCCAUCAAGAUCAAAGAACAAGAAGCAAGACUUCAAGAUAGAAGUCUGACCCCAAACGGUACAUCUAACCUUUAAAGUAGGAAGAUUUUUGAAUGCAAGUGCAUUUGAUUCAGCUCUCUGCUAUGGCCUGGGAGAGCAGUAGAAGAUGGCCCAAGUCCUUGCGCCUCUGCAUCUGCAUGGGAGACUGGAAGAAGCUCCUGGCUCCUGGCUUCGGAUCAGCACAGCUCCAUUUGGGGAGUAAACCAAUGGACAGAAGACCUCUCUCUUUGUCUCUCCCUCUCACUGUCUGAAA